AGUAGAACGAACCGCCGCAAGGCGGUGAGUUGCGAACGGCUGAGUAAUGGAUAGGAAUCUCCCCAAUGGUGUGGAAUACCUCAUCGAAAGAUGAGCUAAUACCACAUAACCUCGCAAGAGAAAAGCGCUUAACUGCGCGCCGGUGGAUGAGCCUAUCUCCCAUCAGGCUGUUGGUAGGGUAAUGGCCUACCAAACCUAUGACGGGUACCCGCCCUGAGAGGGGAAACGGGCAGAAUGGGACUGAGACACGGCCCAUACACCUACGGGUGGCAGCAACAGGGAAUCGUACGCAAUGGACGAAAGUCUGACGUCGCAAUGCCGCGUGGGGGAUGAAGGCCUUCGGGUCGUAAACUCCUUUUAUAGUAAUAGAGAUGUUAUUAAGAAUAAGCACCUGCUAACUCUGUGCCAGCAGCCGCGGUAAUACAGAGGGUGCAAGCGUUAUCCGGAUUUAUUGGGCGUAAAGCGUUUCGUAGGCUGAUACAUAAGUUAUCUUUCAAAGACCACGGCUCAACCGGGGGAAGGGAGAUAAUACUGUGAGUCUUGAAAUAUGGUGGGGCUUCUGGAACUGAUGGUGUAGUAGUGAAAUACGUUGAUAUCAUCAGGAACUCCAAGGGCGAAGGCAGGAAGCUAACCAUUUUUUGACGCUGAGGAACGACAGCUAGGGGAGCGAAAGGGAUUAGAGACCCCUGUAGUCCUAGCCGUAAACUAUGCUCGCUAGGGGUGGGGCCGCAAGGCAUCGCCCCGUAAGCUAACGCGUUAAGCGAGCCGCCUGGGGAGUACGGUCGCAAGACUAAAACUCAA
rnacentral:rRNA from 1 species